rnacentral:rRNA from 1 species
CCUACGGGAGGCUGCAGUGGGGAAUAGUGCACAAUGGGGGAAACCCUGAUGCAGCGACGCCGCGUGAGUGAAGCAGUAAUUCGUUAUGUAAAGCUCUAUCAGCAGGGAAGAAAAUGACGGUACCUGAGUAAGAAGCACCGGCUAACUACGUGCCAGCAGCCGCGGUAAUACGUAGGGGGCAAGUGUUAUCCGGAUUUACUGGGUGUAAAGGGAGCGUAGACGGCAGUGCAAGUCUUGAGUGAAAGGCGGGGGCGCAACCCCCGGACUGCCCUGGAAACUGUACGGCUGGAGUGCAGGAGAGGUAAGUGGAAUUCCUAGUGUAGCGGUGAAAUGCGUAGAUAUUAGGAGGAACACCAGUGGCGAAGGCGGCUUACUGGACUGUAACUGACGUUGAGGCUCGAAAGCGUGGGGAGCAAACAGGAUUAGAUACCCUUGUAGUC